rnacentral:rRNA from 1 species
UACGUAGGUGGCAAGCGUUGUCCGGAAUUAUUGGGCGUAAAGCGCGCGCAGGCGGUCCUUUAAGUCUGAUGUGAAAGCCCACGGCUCAACCGUGGAGGCUCAUUGGAAACUGGAGGACUUGAGUACAGAAGAGGAAAGCGGAAUUCCACGUGUAGCGGUGAAAUGCGUAGAGAUGUGGAGGAACACCAGUGGCGAAGGCGGCUUUCUGGUCUGUAACUGACGCUGAGGCGCGAAAGCGUGGGGAGCAAACAGG